rnacentral:rRNA from 1 species
CAUCCUGGGGCUGAAGUAGGUCCCAAGGGUAUGGCUGUUCGCCAUUUAAAGUGGUACGCGAGCUGGGUUUAGAACGUCGUGAGACAGUUCGGUCCCUAUCUGCCGUGGGCGCUGGAGAACUGAGGGGGGCUGCUCCUAGUACGAGAGGACCGGAGUGGACGCAUCACUGGUGUUCGGGUUGUCAUGCCAAUGGCACUGCCCGGUAGCUAAAUGCGGAAGAGAUAAGUGCUGAAAGCAUCUAAGCACGAAACUUGCCCCGAGAUGAGUUCUCCCUGAGACUUUAGGUCUCCUGAAGGAACGUUGAAGACGACGACGUUGAUAGGCCGGGUGUGUAAGCGCAGCGAUGCGUUGAGCUAACCGGUACUAAUGAACCGUGAGGCUUAACCUUACAACGCCGAAG